GGAGUCAAUUGUGGCUAGGGAAGGACUAUCUUAUCUAUUGUUUUACCAAAACAACCAGAGACUUGAGCUUGAGAUGACCCACUUUAAAACUUUGCUCUCUCCUAAACUUUAACCCUUUAGGCAAGGCAUCUCAAACCUAAAUUAGCUUCUAUAGACUUCAAAUUAAACGGAACUACAAAAUAAAUCAAAAAUCAGUUUUACAAAAGUGCAAAAGAAAAAGAAAAUAUAUUAAAUGAAAUUAUUUCCUUCAAAGGUCAACAAUGAAAAUCAAUUAUCCAAGUUAAAAUAAAAAUUAAUAGAACUUACAAUUUAUCUCAUUCUGGGAACGUUAUCUCCCAUGUAAAUUUGGAAUCGUGAUAAGUGUUAUGAAAGAACAAUUUGCCCAUUUUUUAACCCCAAAGAUGUUCUAGUUACAUCAAGGAAUGUUACUAUUGUCAAUUCGCUCAAAUAUUUACUGUUCUUAUCAGAGGUUGCGCUAGACAUUUUCGUUGUCUGUCAUUUUGACUGACAGGGUCAUAAAAAUCCGGUCAUAGUCUAUUUUUACCCGUCACUUAAAUUUUUUAAAUGAUGAUUUUUUUAAUGACAUAUUUAAUAGUAUUUAGUUUUCAUUCAUUUUUAAUUAAUAUUGUAACACUUGCUUGGCGGCGAAAAAUUAGACACGGAAGUCGUGGUAUUUUUCUCCCUUUUUACUCUGCUUCCCAACAACUCCGCCCCCAAAGAAAAAGAGGCAACGAUAUAGACCCCAAUCACCAACGUCACACAAUGAUCUUAAUUGUGGUUGUCAGCCCAAAAUCUUCUAAAUAUGUAUUAAUGCAUCUUACCAGAUAUAAAAAGACUACUACAUAGUCUGUGGUGAUCGUUUGGUGCCCAGACUUCUUGUCGAAUUACAGCAGUCCAUCUCGCUCUCAUCUUCACCAUUUUGAUUAUUAAUAUUAACGAGCAGAAAAACACGCCGUAAUAGGAGGCAUGUACGUAGCGGUAAUGUGUAAAUAUGACAAGCUGACACACAAUAUGGCGGCUCCGGUCAGGGGGGCGGAGUUGUGACGUCAUGUGAUUGGGUGAUUGGAUGACGCGCUGGCACACCGGGUGCACCAAUAAGAACCUCGCGUUGAUGUGUCAAUCACGGUGCCGCCGCCAAACCCCGGUGACGCUACAAUAUUCUGACAGAAGAGCCAACGACGUCAUGCAUUAAGAGAGACAAUAGCUAAUAUGCUGACUCGCCACCCUGUGGUCUGGGGUGUGAAUUGCAACCUGUCAAAAUGACGGACGGAUUUCAGUUUUUUCCGUCAACGUUUUAAAAAACGGGUCAACGACGGAAAAUAUCCAGUUAACGCGACCCCUGGGGCUUAUAUUACAUUAUUACAGGUUUUAUAAUUGCUCCCUAUUUAAUAAUUUGUCAAUUAAAUUUGGUCGUGCCUGUCUCGACAAAGUUGGCCACUUAUUUCCUACUAUAUUGUCAGAACCGCAAAAAUUAGGUCAAUUAUAAUUGUCUUCUUAUAUCAGAACUAAAAUCGAUAGAUAUACCGUUGUUCUUUGGAUCACAGCUGAAUUCACUACAGCCAAUUCUAUCAACACGUGAUCCAAAAGUGACACCUUCCCCAUAUUGAUCAUGCUCAAAUCCCUUAAAAAUUAAAUUAAAUUUCAAACUAUUCGUUAUACUAAGAGCGGGCCAUGAUGCCAAUUUCCCCGUUAUUCACUUUGAGGUUUUCUUUGCUUUUUUUGCUUCCUUUAGGAGACUCUCCACAUUAUUUUGUGAGUCAAAACAUUGGCUCGAGAAAUCUUAUCUAAUCUAGGACUUUACCAAGCAUCCAGGGCCUUCAGCCUUCUCAUUUUCUUAACCUGCAUUAAAAAGAAGUAUCAGUUUUUCACCAUCCUCUUAAAAGGUUUAUCAAGCUAUCAUUUAUGUUAUAUCUCUUCACAAACCUUAUUUCAAUAUUUGGUCAAGACUUACGAAACUACUGGUAUUCUUUUUGGUUCUGGGUAUCUGGCCGGAGCUGGAAUUGCCAAUACCGGGUGAUCAAGCCGACGCCGACACGCCAGCCCCGCCGAAUAAAACCAAUUUCAUUGUUUUUCAGCAAUUUGAGCGGCUUUUGUAAUUUUAAAGCAUUUUAUCAUUUCCAACCAAGCUCACGAGUUUAUUUUCAUCUAAUGCCGCCUCUUUUUCACUUGAUUAUCUUUUCAUCUCGAGUUCAAUUUUAAUAUUCCCUUUUUUUUUCAUUAGACUGUCAAUUUGAUAUCACCAAUAGUAAAAUGUUCUUGAAUGUUGGCAGCCCUCCUUGCUUUGCUUGGCCAGAACAAGAGCAAGGGGGGCCUCACGCCUAUCGGCCCGCGCACCUCAUUUCGACCUAAAUUUUAUCUUAAAUAGUUAAACAAGGACUGGAAAAUUCCCAACUUCAAUUCUAACCUCCCCUUAUAAUUAAUUUUGGCAAAAACCCAGCGGAUGCCGUCAAGGACCCCAUGUUGCAAAUAGGGGCCACCGACGGCCCGCACUCCUUAUUUUGAACACAGUGUUCUUUUCUAAUCAGAUUGCGCAAAUCCAGGUGCCAUGCCAACGGCUGUCUCCCAGAACGUUAACAGGGGCGCUUCCUAUUUUUUCGGCUUUAUUUUGAACAACGCUAAGCAAAACAAAAAUGUCCAUUUACUUUAACAAAAGAAUACACGACACCAUAGCAACUUAACAUUGAAACAACAACAGUGGCAGUCCACCCCGACUUCCCCAUUUUAAUUGUCACUUUCCUUGUCAUGGCCAAUUUUAGUGCAUUUGUACAACCAUCCAUCCCGGGUCCCUAACCUAUAUUUUCGCUGGGCGAAUGUAUACUCAUGGCCAUGUUUUGCUACCACAGCAAAAUUAUUCCUGCUUACCACAAGCAGUUUACAGCUUCCCGCAAGCUGAGUGUCAGGUAUUAAUGUUUCAUCAUCUUGCAUGUGUAAUGUUUCAGCUAGUAAUGUUUCAUCAUAUUGCUUCACACUCAUGCAUCACAAAGCCCUUUAUUAUGUCAUAAAGAAUAACUGAGAACACUAUAUAAGCCUCGAGCAGACAACAUCCAGUGUCAGGUCGUCAGCGAUUCAACAUAUGUCUUUUUCCCUUGCCUGUCAACAUCAAUAAAAUCCCGUGUCUGCGAUACGCAACUGGGUCCUCCGUCUCGUACAUGACAGUACGACCUGACCAGAAUGGAACCAGCGUAUCAACCCUCUGACCUGGACCGUUUUCACCAAACGGAAGAGGAGGUCUUCCGGAUGUCUGGUGACAUCGCAUCGUUAAUCCAGAUCAAACACCAGCGACAGCAAGAUCAACUGACUCAGAAGCCCCAGUUCCCGUAAACCCAGCCUUGGCUAUUGACGCUCCCGAGCCCAAGAUUGGAAACCCUGAACGCUUUAACGGCGAUCCAACUCAGGGGCCAAAGUGGGAUACGCCAUCACCCACUUGACUGGUCGGGCUCGGCUUUGGGGGACAGCGGAAUUUGAGAGGCAAACACCUCUGUCAUGUAUUAAUGUUUCAGCCAUUAAUGUUUCAUCAUCUUGCAUGUGUCAUGUUUCAGCUAGUAAUGUUUCAUCAUAUUGCUUCACACUCAUGCAUCACAAAGCCCUUUGUUAUGUCAUAAAGAAUAACUGAGAACACUAUAUAAGCCUCGAGCAGACAACAUCCAGUGUUAGGUCGUCAGCGAUUCAACAUAUGUCUGCAUGUCAACUUGCCAUUAUCGCUUGACCUGAUAGUUUUCCCUUGCCUGUCAACAUCAAUAAAAUCCUGUGUCUGCGAUACGCAACUGGGUCCUCCACAUGACACCGAGGGCCUUUUGCUGUUGGGCGUCACUCCAACAGCGGCCUUAACCUAUACAUUUUUCUAUCUUUUUUUGGGGGGAGGGACCACUCCCUAGGGCUUCCAUUACCCCAUUUCGGGGGAGCCCAGCUUCAACCUCCGCCUCGUCAGACGAGAGGGGGGGCCGCCGCGUCCCCAGUCCCUGUGAAUUUGAGCCGGCCUGACGCUGCCCGCCAGUCAAACCACUUCCUUUUGGACAAGUAUAAAUGCCUAUCCAUAUAUAUGUAUCUUAUAUGUAUACAUAUAAAUGAAUACACAUAUUGCGUGUAACAGCCCCCUCAUCAGAUCGGACCCAACAAUCACAAUGAGCUUGCAAUUGCCAAUUCCUCGCAAUCUGACUACAACUCGGGGGUACCCGCCAGCUAAUCUAACUUACAUAUACAUACCCAUUCAUAUCCCAUACAUAUAUAUUUUAGGGCUGUCAAACGAUUAAAAAUUUUAAUCGAGUUAAUUACAGCUUACAAUAAAUUAAUCGCACUAUAAACCAUCUAUAAAAUAUGCCAGAUUUUUCUGUAAAAAUCAGCCUAUUCUCACGAAAGUUUGAAAAACUUGAAGAGCACCACUCUAAGCAACAUUACCCAGUGUGACCCUUCCAAUUUUCUAAAAUGGCGACAAUCAAUCAAAAAAAAAAAGUUGACUGUGAUGGCCGACGCUUCAAGGAUAGGUGGAUAUUGGACUAUUUCUUCAAUAAAACACGCAGCAACUGUAUCUGCUUCAUUUGCAAAGAGAGUCGCUGUUUUCAAAGAGUUCGAUGUGACACGAUAAUGAUAUUACCUGACAAGACACGCUGACAUGUACGACAACAUUACAGGGAAGAUACGUAGCGAGAAAUUUAGCAACUUGAAGCUAUUUUAAUUUCACAGCAGCAGUAUUUCGCGAGAGCCCGAGUGUCUAAAGAGAACGCCACAAAGACGAGAUUGUUGAAAUUAUGAAUUAAAAAAAUUAUAAAGCAAAUGUGACACACAGAAAGGCUUGUUAAAAUUUGUUUAAAUACAUUGUUCUAUGUAAAUCAGACAAGGUAGCCCCCCGCAUUUUUACCACACCAAAUCUGGCCCCCUUUGCAAAAGGUUUGGACACACCUGUUUAACUUCUUUCACUUGGUACUAGCUAAAUAUUAUUCAAAAAAUAAUGAUGGUGGAAGAAAUAAGCAUCUUGAAUUUGAAACUGUAUAUUGUCGGCGAUUAGCCUCCCAAUGAUCUUAAUUGUGGUUGUCAGCCCAAAACCCUCUAUAUAUUAAAUGCAUCUUACCAGAUAUAAAAUGACUACUACAUAAUCUGUAGUGAUCAUUUGGUGCCCAGUUUUCUCGUCGAAUUGAAGCAGUGCAUCUCGCUUUCCUCACCGGGUCUCUCGGAAUACGGUAGAACUUCAAGUCUCUUCGUCUAUCUUCUCUGUUAUUGCAACCAACCGCCACGCAUGCCUUCACCAUUUUGAUUAUUAAUGUUAAUGAGCAGAAAAACACGGCAUAAUAGGAGGAAUUUACGUAGCGGUAAUGCUUAAACCCAACGAGCUGACGGACAAUAUGGCGCGGAGGCGUGGUUGUGACUAGGGAUGGGAAUUGAUAGGAUUUUUACGAUUCCGAUUCCAUUAUCGAUGUUGGUUAACGAUUCGAUUCUUUAUCGAUUCUCUUAUCGAUUCUAAUUUGGGGGGGGGGGAGAACAAACAUUUAGAUUGGCAUUGAGUUUGUUUAAUCAGAAGUCACAACCUUAAAAACUCACAACAAGGUCAAAAGAAGCCCAACGCCUCAAUAUUAACUGUGGCAAAAAGUGGCAAAUGCACAAGAAUGUUUAACAUUUUACUGAAACAUUUUUCUAAUAGAAAUAAAAAAUAUUGGUAUAUAUUAGCAUAUAGAUAGUUGGUCUGCCGUUUGCAAUAUGUGUUAAACUUGCAGGGGUCCCCAAACUUUUUCCAGUGAGGGCUGCAUAACUUUUCCCUUCUCUGAGGGGCCGGGGUCAGUUUGUGACAGAAAAAGUGUGACGAUUGCAGGAGUGCCUGAAUGUAAAAAAAUUAUUGUUUUUCAGGAAGCCACAAUCAAAUAACCCUUUCUGGAUAUUUCACGGAACAAAAGUAAAUAAAAUAAAAAUAAUAAUAUAAUAUAAUAAUAAUUAAUAAUAAUAGCACUAUUAAUCAAAUAGAUAAUAACCAAAUAACCCUCUCUGAGUUCUUCACAGAAAAAGGCCAGAAAAUAAAUAACACUAUUGAGAAAAAAAAAAAAAAAAAUCAAAAUGCUCUCUGGUAUUGUUCAGGGGGCCGGACUGAAUGUUGGGGGGCCGUAGUUUGGGGACCCCUGUUAAAGUAUUAUUUACCAGUAUAUUGAAGUGCAUGCCUUUUAGUUUUUAUGGUGCUUUCACGCUCAAGUGGGGGCGCCCUUGCGCUUCCUCACGUGAAGAAGACGCGAGAGAAAGCGUCAGAGAGUUAGUGAGAGAGGGAAGCACUGCUACGACCCUAUGUUCUUUGUUAAUGCUUGUAAAAUAUCUACAGAGGCAACGCCUGUAUGUAUCAUCUUUUGUGUUGUUGUUGUUGUGUGUUUCCACUCGCGAUCGGACACUUAAAUCCAGUUGUGUAGUGGUUUGAACGAUGUGCUAAUGCUAGCGAACGCAUGCUAACUGUUUUGUUAUUACAGCUAAUCAUCGCUGAUUUACGUUGAUGCAAACCUGUUUGUUACUGGGGACGAAAUUAUUUGUUUCAUUUCUAUUUUUAGUUUCACUCUUCAAGUGAUGGUUGAAUAAAGUCAGCAAAUUAUA